CCUAGAGGAAGGGAUGAUUGCAUUUUUACAACCCAGCUAGGAGUUCUUAAAGCAAGAGCUCUGUCCUCAUGGUGUUCUCAGAGCUGAGUUGGAUCUUUUGCGGUCGUACCUUGAUGCAAACCAGCAGCUGAGCCUCCAGAGCUUUGAUCUUACUCUUCAGCAAGUCCUCAUCACAACGUGUCUGUGGGAGGAAAAGGAAAUGUGCGAGUGCGUCAGAGAGAUAGAGAGAGAACCACCGAACCAAGAGUUUUCAGUUUCUGUGCAUACUGCAUCCGGUGUGACAACUACCAUCCUUAGCAUUGCUAUAUUGGUUCUUGAGAGAAAUACAGACAUUGUUAUGAG